rnacentral:lncRNA from 1 species
UUUCUUUAGUGCUUCCUAAAAUUUCUGUCACAUCGAAUGUUUAGAUACUAAUUAGGAGUAUUAAAUAUAGACUAAUUACAAAACCAAUUGCACAGAUGGAGACUAAUUUGCGAGACGAAUCUAUUAAGCCUAAUUAGUUCAUGAUUUGACAAUAUGAUGCUACAGUAAACAUGUGCUAAUGAUGGAUUAAUUAGGCUUAAUAGAUUCGUCUCGUGAAUUAGCCUCUAUCUGUUUAAUUAGUUUUAUAAUUAGCUCAUAUUUAGUCCUCCUAAUUAGCCUCAUAAUAUUCGAUGUGACAUAAAUUUUAGGAGAUCCUAAAGAUCCAAACACCCCCUAAGAAUAAACUUAUUCUUCUUUCAAAAACAUGUAUUCUAUUCUUGUUGGAUAGGGUUCACAAUCUUUUUUGAUUGAUCGUUCGAACAAAAUAUGUAGAUGUUAGAUACAUAUAUUAGACAAUUUUAUAUCGGGUGUUUGGGAGGGGGGGCUAAACUUUAGCCCUGUCACAUCGGAUGUUCGGAUACUAAUUAGGAAGACUAAACAUAAGCUAAUUACAAAACUAAUUGCAGAACCCCUAGGCUAAAUCACGAGAUGAAUCUAUUAAGCCUAAUUAAUCCAUCAUUAGUGAAUGGUUACUGUAGCACCACAUUGUCAAAUCAUGGACUAAUUAGGCUUAACAGAUUCGUCUCGCGAUUUAGCCUAGGGGUUGUGUAAUUAGUUUUGUAAUUAGUCUAGGUUUAAUACUCCUAAUUAGUGUCCAAACAUUCGAUGUGACAGGAGCUAAAAUUUAGCCCCCUCCUCCCAAAACCCCCUUUAGAUGUAAUCUUUCGUUCAAACAAAAUAAAUAGAGGUUAGAUAUAACCUAAACAUAGAUUAGACAAUUUUAUAUCUUAUAGAUGUAAUCUUGUAUUGUCUUUUUACUGUCAAUCACAUAGUAACAAAUAAUAAGACAAAAAAAAUUUAGUUUGACCUACUGGACAAUCACAUUCUAACAUGACCUAGUUUCAGGAUACAAAACUUAUCUAUACAAACAAUGUAAAAUUUUAAGCUUUACUCACAUGGAGGAUUGAAAUCCUUGUGUUCAUGAUUCUCUGCAAAGAGGUAGCUAGACCUUCGUACACUAAAUUCUUAAACAUUGUUUUUUUAGUUACCUCAGAGCUCUUACCUAUCGGGAGCAACACUCUCAGAAGGUUUUUGUUUUGGCCUGUACUAAGAGAAAAAUAUUUUUAAGUGACAAUAAUGUAUAAUCACAAGCUUAUACACUUAGCUGCUACCUAUCAUGCCACCAUAGCCAUUUAAUAAUAAAUCAUCUCCAGAAGAAAAAGAUUACAGAUGCAUGAAGACAAUAUUAUGGAAUCGAGAGAAUAGACCUAACAAACCAUCCACCCCCAUUCUGCAUAUUGUACCGGACCCAACACUAAUCUGCUACUCCAUCG